UACGAGAGGCCCAAACGUUAUUCGGAAUUACUGGGCUUAAAGAGUUCGUAGGCGGCAUGACAAGUAGGGUGUGAAAGCCCUCGGCUCAACCGAGGAAUUGCGCUCUAAACUGUCGUGCUUGAGGAACCUAGAGGUGAGCAGAACAGAUGGUGGAGCGGUGAAAUGCGUUGAUAUCGAGAGGAACACCAGUGGCGAAGGCGAGUCCCUGGACAACACCUGACACUGAGGCACGAAAGCCGGGGGAUCAAACAGG
rnacentral:rRNA from 1 species